UUUAAAAAACAUGGUCUUUUGUUUAUUAUAAAAGAUCUGACCUGCUCUAUGAUUAGAAUAAAUUAAAUGGCUGCAGUAUUUUGACUGUACAAAGGUAGCAUAAUCAUUUGUUUCUUAAUUGGAAACUAGUAUGAAUGGUUGGACAAAAAAUAUAUUUUCUUUAUUUUAUAGAAUGAAAUUAAUUUUUUAGUUAAAAAGCUAAAAUAUUUUUAUAGGACGAGAAGACCCUAUAGAAUUUUAUUUUUAUGGAAAUAUUAAUUUAUUAGUUUAUUUAUUUUAAUAUUUUUUUAAAAAUUAUGUUGGGGUGAUAGAAAAAAUUAUAUAACUUUUUUUAUAUUAUACAUUUAUAUAUGUAUUUUUGAUCCUUUUAUAAGGAUAAUAAGAUUAAAUUACCUUAGGGAUAACAGCGUUAUUCUUUUAGAGAGUUCUUAUCGAUAAAAGAGUUUGCGACCUCGAUGUUGGAUUAAAAUAAGCAAUAGAAGUAGAAUGUUAUUUGCUAGGUCUGUUCGACCUUUAAAUUUUUACAUGAUCUAGUUUCCAACCGGG
rnacentral:rRNA from 1 species